GGGAAUUGAUUUGCGUUUGAAGUCAGGUGGUCACUCCAGGAACUGCAGCUUAUUGCAGUUUACCCUAGCUUUUGCUGAUCAAUUCAAUAAUCAGCACCUGCAUACUGUAGCGCACUAUAAUACUGAUCACAUACAAUACUUCAAAAUUUGGCCAUGGUCAAUAGAUUUUCUGAUCAUGCAUCAAGUAAGUCCCUACUAUUACAUUGGUGUUUAGGAGAUAAGGAUUUAUUUAAAUACAUUUUUAAAAAUCAGUGCUAUAAACAGUCACAACCCUGCAAUAUAUUAUGUGUGUGUGCUGAAGCAAAUCUGUAUGAAAGAUUCUUUAUAUUCUCCACAUCUCUCUUUGCUCCGUACAGAAUGAAUAUAAUUCCUCUAUCAAAGUGAAGACUGAAAUUAGACCUAAAGCACUCAAUAAAGGAGACACACAGACACAAAGUGUCAGACGUACGCUGCCACAUACAGAUUUCACACACGCAAGCAGCAAAAGUUCUCUCUUCAGUCUAGACAUGUGGGCAGAAUAAUGACAGAGGAAGGCAGAGGGAAAGUGACAGAGUGGGAAAAAGAGGGACUGGAACAGAGUGAGGGAUAAUGAGAGUAAAAAAAGGAGUGAGACAGUGUCAAACAGGGAGGGAGGGGUGAGCAGACAGAGGUGGGUGGGAAUGGACAGAUAGGGUGCAAGGUGAUUUCUCACAGCCUGUCUGACCCGUGGCUGUUGGUAAGGAAAAUACAGAAGAGGUGUGUGCAGAGCUGUGGACGUCAGAACAACUUUAUCGCAAAGAUUAACUGGUCACGGCGAGGAGCAGUGUUUGCAGAGAUGCCCACAAUUCCCUCUUUCCUGUCAAACGCCUAAGCAUUCCUAUGUCAGCUUAGAGAGGACAGUGUCCAGGGUGUACUCUGACACCUCCUCCCAGCUGAACAUGCCUAAGAGGUUUCCAGGAGUCAUCCUAGUCUAGUCUACUGAACCAUGGCACCUGGUUUCUUUCUUUUUGUGAAGGUGCAGCAGUUCUAAUCUUAAAUAAACAAAGGUUUCUCGCAAUAAGUAGGUCUGCUUUAUUGAUAUAUUAUUCCGAUACAUUAUAGGGUUCCUUAUGGAUCCAUGUGUUCAUAAAAAGUCAUCAUUCUUGUUACACAACAGUUAAAACAAGAGAGCAAUAUUUUCUGAAAACACAGACAACAACAGUGUGGAUCAGUAGAAGAAGCAAAUUUCCUUCAGAUAUAUUAUUUUAAUUGAACAUCCUCACUUUGUAAGACUUAUCAAAUAGAGCUCAUUGUUUUCCCUGCCGUUGCCUUGGAGGAGCGACCUUCUCUCCAAUGGGACACCCCUCAAGAAUCUUAAGUAAACUUUUUUUGAAUACACAUUCUGUUAUAAGAAAAACUGUACAAUGUAGAAUGUCCAUCACAGUUUCUAAAAGUCCAAGGUUACUUCCUUAAAUUGCCAGUGUUGGGUGUUUUUAACAGUCCAAAACCCAAAGACAGUCAGGGUCCAGCGCGGUUAAGCAGACAAAGAGGCAGACUGACGAAAUACAAACCAGACACUGUUUGGACAAAAAAAACCCAAAAAACUUGAAGCAAUUGUCAAAAUUGUUGAACUUUAAUAUUCUGUUCAAAUUGAUAUUCCUUCUGAGUCACUGUGGAGGUGCUCAGCGAUUGAGACUUGUAGAAGCAGGCUGUCUUUUCUGCCCUCCUUUGUCUCCGGUCUGUCAUUGUGUCUCUCCUCUUUUUGUUGAACUCUAUUCUUCUACGACCUUCUCUCGCUCUUUUAUCCCAUCAUCUUCCCCUUCCCUCUACUCAAAACUCCUCCCUCUUCUUUCCACAUUACUUUUCAUCUCAUCUGUCCUCCACUCCACCCUCUCACUCCUCUCCACAUUUAUUCUGCUGAAAAACUCCCCAUUUGCCCGCUUGCCUCUCGUACCCUGUUAUUCUGUCCUUUCACUCGCCUCGUCUUGCCAUUCCCCUUUUCCCCCACCUCAUGUCCCUACUACACCCUCCCCCUUGCCCCCUUACACAACCAAACCACCUUUUUCUCUCCUCUCCUCUUCAGAAAGCCACUCUCAUCUCGUCUGCUGAAACACUCGUUUCUCCUCUCCCGGGGCAGGGAUCAACCAUAGCCCAUUUCACACAUGACAGAGUGUGCUGUAUGCCAGUGAUGUAUGUAUGCUGCUAGAAGUGGCGCUACUGAUGGGUAGCAAUGGAGAUAGGGUAAUGAGCAGGGAGCCCUGUGUGUGUACACCAAGCGUGCAUGUGUGCGAGUCUCGAUGACGGGCAGCAGAGCUGACUGGAGUCCAUCUGAAUUUUAAUUCUCUGUGCCACAUAAACGCAUUGAGAUUCUGCUCAUACAUUCAGAAAUUAUUCUCAACAGAAAAAGAAAUUUCACUUGCUUCGGACUGAAUUGAAACACUAGACAGAGCGGGCGGCUAUCGAUAUGCUCAUUUACCCCACGCCGGCAAGAAAGAGGAAAAAUGAGUAAAGAGUCAUAAAGCUGAGAGAAAAAGCAAAGCAUGAGGACAAAAAGGAAGAGGAAAGAGUGAGGCAGAGAAAACAUUACAUGUGUUAUAGAGGGCAGGAGGUCAAGACAGAGUUUGAGAGACAGGCUACACUGCUGAAUCGCAUAAAUCGAACGGAUCAGAUCUGCUACAGGGUCGGGG